CCUCCUGCACAAAUGAAAAUUCAUGAACUGACCUUGGAGGACCGUCACUGAACAACUGAAGAACUUGUUGAUAUGACUCGUGUGUCCUGGAACUCCUUCCAACGAACUUUGAACGAGGAAUUGCGAAUGAAAAGAGUUGCAGUAAAAUUUGUGACUCGCU